rnacentral:rRNA from 1 species
ACGAACGCUGGCGGCGUGCCUAAUACAUGCAAGUCGAACGCUUCUUUUUCCAUCGGAGCUUGCUCCACCGGAAAAAGAGGAGUGGCGAACGGGUGAGUAACACGUGGGUAACCUGCCCAUCAGAAGGGGAUAACACUUGGAAACAGGUGCUAAUACCGUAUAACAAUCGAAACCGCAUGGUUUUGAUUUGAAAGGCGCUUUCGGGUGUCGCUGAUGGAUGGACCCGCGGUGCAUUAGCUAGUUGGUGAGGUAACGGCUCACCAAGGCGACGAUGCAUAGCCGACCUGAGAGGGUGAUCGGCCACAUUGGGACUGAGACACGGCCCAAACUCCUACGGGAGGCAGCAGUAGGGAAUCUUCGGCAAUGGACGAAAGUCUGACCGAGCAACGCCGCGUGAGUGAAGAAGGUUUUCGGAUCGUAAAACUCUGUUGUUAGAGAAGAACAAGGAUGAGAGUAACUGUUCAUCCCUUGACGGUAUCUAACCAGAAAGCCACGGCUAACUACGUGCCAGCAGCCGCGGUAAUACGUAGGUGGCAAGCGUUGUCCGGAUUUAUUGGGCGUAAAGCGAGCGCAGGCGGUUUCUUAAGUCUGAUGUGAAAGCCCCCGGCUCAACCGGGGAGGGUCAUUGGAAACUGGGAGACUUGAGUGCAGAAGAGGAGAGUGGAAUUCCAUGUGUAGCGGUGAAAUGCGUAGAUAUAUGGAGGAACACCAGUGGCGAAGGCGGCUCUCUGGUCUGUAACUGACGCUGAGGCUCGAAAGCGUGGGGAGCAAACAGGAUUAGAUACCCUGGUAGUCCACGCCGUAAACGAUGAGUGCUAAGUGUUGGAGGGUUUCCGCCCUUCAGGGCUGCAGCUAACGCAUUAAGCACUCCGCCUGGGGAGUACGACCGCAAGGUUGAAACUCAAAGGAAUUGACGGGGGCCCGCACAAGCGGUGGAGCAUGUGGUUUAAUUCGAAGCAACGCGAAGAACCUUACCAGGUCUUGACAUCCUUUGACCACUCUAGAGAUAGAGCUUCCCCUUCGGGGGCAAAGUGACAGGUGGUGCAUGGUUGUCGUCAGCUCGUGUCGUGAGAUGUUGGGUUAAGUCCCGCAACGAGCGCAACCCUUAUUGUUAGUUGCCAUCAUUUAGUUGGGCACUCUAGCAAGACUGCCGGUGACAAACCGGAGGAAGGUGGGGAUGACGUCAAAUCAUCAUGCCCCUUAUGACCUGGGCUACACACGUGCUACAAUGGGAAGUACAACGAGUCGCAAAGUCGCGAGGCUAAGCUAAUCUCUUAAAGCUUCUCUCAGUUCGGAUUGUAGGCUGCAACUCGCCUACAUGAAGCCGGAAUCGCUAGUAAUCGCGGAUCAGCACGCCGCGGUGAAUACGUUCCCGGGCCUUGUACACACCGCCCGUCACACCACGAGAGUUUGUAACACCCGAAGUCGGUGAGGUAACCUUUUGGAGCCAGCCGCCUAAGGUGGGAUAGAUGAUUGGGGUG